rnacentral:rRNA from 1 species
AUUGAACGCUGGCGGCAGGCCUAACACAUGCAAGUCGAGCGGAUGACGGGAGCUUGCUCCCGGAUUCAGCGGCGGACGGGUGAGUAAUGCCUAGGAAUCUGCCUGGUAGUGGGGGACGACGUUUCGAAAGGAACGCUAAUACCGCAUACGUCCUACGGGAGAAAGCAGGGGACCUUCGGGCCUUGCGCUAUCAGAUGAGCCUAGGUCGGAUUAGCUAGUUGGUGAGGUAAUGGCUCACCAAGGCGACGAUCCGUAACUGGUCUGAGAGGAUGAUCAGUCACACUGGAACUGAGACACGGUCCAGACUCCUACGGGAGGCAGCAGUGGGGAAUAUUGGACAAUGGGCGAAAGCCUGAUCCAGCCAUGCCGCGUGUGUGAAGAAGGUCUUCGGAUUGUAAAGCACUUUAAGUUGGGAGGAAGGGCAGUAAGCGAAUACCUUGCUGUUUUGACGUUACCGACAGAAUAAGCACCGGCUAACUCUGUGCCAGCAGCCGCAGUAAAAC